AAAGUAAACUGUGGACGAAGAGGCUUGGAACUUUCUGGCUUCCCUUGUUUGAAGGCAGUGGAAGAUGUUAGGCAGCUUGAGCACUCAGGGGGAAGGGGGAACUGGAGUAGGCAGACAAAAAGGGAGGUAAACACAAAGGGGGAACUUUCUUCUCUGUACUACUCAAAACGGGGACUCUGAUCCCACUGGUUCAGAAGAUCUAGGGUACCUGAUGGGUUCUGGAAUUCCUGGUUGGAUGAAGGACUGUAGGCGCAGAGCCUUGAUGCGAGAAGGCAUCAAGACAUCGGGCCAUUAAACAGGUAGGGUAUGGAGAGGACCCAGGGACAGAACUCAAACCUUCCAUCUGGGGCAUCAUCGGGGAAAGAUACUGUUCCACAGUGUUAAAACUCAAAGACCACUGCAAAGUGGGAGAAAAACAGAAUUCUGAGGCUGGAAUAGACAAGGCAGAAGAAUUCAAUGCUGUGCCACAUUCCAGUUAAACAAAUUCUGACCUCACAAAAGGAAAUCAAGAUCUAGGUUCCAAGUGUGAAGAAAAGGCUUCCCUGGGGUUGGUGUGUGCUAGCCAGGAGAUCAGUAUGGUGGGUCUUGUGGGGUGUGAGAACUGGCAAGGGGAACCCCAUCUCAGAUGACAGCACACAGAAACUGGCUUGGAGACCUCCUUCAGGCACAUACCUGCUGCACAAAGAUCACCAGACAGUAGGAGUGGAGACAGGAAAAGACAUUUGCAUCUCAGGGUUGGAGACAGAAGAGGGGGUUGUUUGUUGAUAUUUCCUGCUCUAGCUCUCCUGUUCUUGAACCAAAUUGGAAGAACUCAAGGACUAUGAUGUUGGAUUCACCCAGGGAUCCAUGGAAUCAAAGGUGUUAAUGGGGUUGUCAUGAUGGGCAUCCAUGGACAAGUGUUGGCACUGGCUAACUGGAGAAACUGUGGGCACAGCCGCCCAGGCACCACCACAUGGCGCAAUCCAUCGAUUGUGGGAACUGUAAAGGAGAAAGGAGAAUAGUCUGCGACCACUGAGCCCUGCCUCCUCAAGCAGACCUCACAGCCAGCAGCCCUGGAGGAGCAACAUUAAGCCACUGGGAUUCCCCCAACUUCAGGCAGUGAGUAGGGAUCUCAUUCUAAUGGCACCAAAAAAAGGGCUGUAAAGUGUCUUCUCCAAUCUUGGGCCACAGCUGUAAGGAGCACAUUACUUCAAGAAGAGAAAAUAGUAGGCUUUAAUUAUUCAAGUUAAGAAAAGGGCAAACUACUACCUUAAGAAAAGUUUUCUUAAAAAUAACCUUAAGAAUGUAAUUGGAUUGUUUGUAACUCAAAGGAUAAAUACUUGAGGGGAUGGAUACCCUAUUCUCCAUGAUGUGCUUAUUUCAUAUUGCAUGCCUGUAUCAAAACAUCUCAUGUACCCCAUAAAUACAUACACCUACUAUGUACCCACAAAAACUUAAAAAAUAAAAGUAAAAAAUAAAAUUUAGGGGGGAAAAAGACACAAGUUCUUGAAACAUUUGGGAAUUUUCUGUCAGAAUCUAAUACAAAGAAUUAAAAAAAUAACCUCCCUGCUGUGGUUUGACUGUGUCUCCCAAAGUUCAUGUUUUGGAAACUUAAUUCCUAAUGCAAAAUUAUUGAGAGGUAGGAUCUUUAAGAGGUGAUGAGGCUAUGAGGGAUCUUUGUUUGCCCUUCCACCCUUCUGUCGUGGGAUGACGCAGCAAGAAGGCCUUUGCCAGGCCCCUGGGUCUUGGACUUUCCACUCUCCAGAACUAUGAACCAAAUAAAUUUAUGUUCAUUAUAAAUUAUCCAGCCUCAGGUAUUCUGUUAUAGCAGCACAAAAUGGACUAAGACACUGCCCAUUCAUCUGAACUUUUAAUUUUAAAUCUCUUUUAUCUCAGAUAAGAAUAUCAGAGUAUGACUUUAAAAGAAAUACACUGGUGUAUAUUCUUGAGAAUGGAAAACAAUCUGGGCAGUUAUUUACUUCUGAACUUACUCUUCUGGAAGAAGUUAAAUGCCAAACCACAACAAAAUAAAAAAUACAGUGUAGUCCCCCAAAAAAGGCAUGAACAAAGCAGCUCAUAAAAAAUGCCAAGAAUGGACCCAGUUUCUGAACACCAUGGAGAAACUCUG
rnacentral:lncRNA from 1 species